CAGACCUUUUGUGGUUGAGUUGCAAUAAGACAGCAGCAGUGAUGAUUCAGCUGCCAAAGGACAUCAUCCAUCUCCAACCUCCGUCAGGACCGAGCGUCUCCUGAGAGAUAGAGAGAGCGAGAAAGUUAGUCAUGGAUCAGAAGACAAAUGAGAAUCCCAACUCCACCUCCCCUCAGAAGCACAUGAAGAACAGGUCCAAAUCAACAGAGGAGAUGCAACACUCGAAGAAGGCCUUUUCCUCACAAAAAUCCCUCCCAGGCCGACCAGAGCUGGACAGAGUGAAGGAGUGUCCUGAUGGCUCUGACACGCCCCCGUCCUCCACUGAAGAAGAGAAGUGAUAAAUAAAAGGAUCACUGGGACAAUAGAGCUGCCAUCAAGCAACAACAUCAUCAUACAACAACAUGACACGUACAUUAAAAUGUACAUAUGCAAACAAAGAAACAUAGAAAAUAUUGAGGAUAACAGUGAACUAAAUUAGAAAAUAUACAAGUGGCGAACAGAUGAUUGGUUGAAAGAAACUGUUGAAAAUAAUGGUUACUUGAACGCACGCAUGCACACACACACACGCACGCACGCACGCACGCACGCACACACCCACACACACACCCACACACACACAUACACACACACACACACACACACACACAAUCUGAGACAAUCGCAUGCAAACAAAAGGACACCCAUGAUGAUGCUGUUUCAUUGUACUGUACUCUGAGAGUCAUUAACAUACCAGACUGAACAAGUAUUGACAAUAAAGUGAUUUCUCAUCUAUUCUCAUUCACACCAGUAAUCAAAUUCCUCCUCCGCCUGCAAAUACCAGAUGUAAUGACAA
rnacentral:lncRNA from 1 species